AUUCAUGGCUUUCUCCAUCACAUCGUCUCUUAGCACGCCUCUUCGGCGUUUCAGAUUACUUUUUUUUCACAAAAACGACGUUUCAGAUUUACCAUUAAUCUUCUCAUCUAUUGAUGGUUUCUUUUCAGUCUUCGCGAAUCUCAUAAAAAACUUGCCUUUCCACAAUCCUUUGCCACAAUCCUAUUUGGAAACAUCUUCCGCUUCUCGCUUCUAUGACGGGAAGGGCUUUGUCUUUGAUGAUUUCUGUUUUAAAGCCAUGGUUGGAAGAUCUACAGGCUUGGUCGAUGCUUGAUCAACUAUCUGACCUCAAAAUAAAGGAGGAAAUGAUAUAGGAAACCAACAGAGAUCUUAGAGAAAGAUAGUGCCAUUGAAAUCUUAAUGCCCAAGAAAUUGAAUUCAUUUGAGAUCUUUAACGAUAUUUCUGGCCUUCUCUCUCAAUCUAUCUCAGUUGGAGGGAAAGUGAUGCAGCCCUUAAUCAAUCAUUAAGGGGAUCUUCUUCUGCAGAACAUCAUCAACAACAGUAACAACAAGGCAUGAGCUCUUAUCAAGCAAACGUUGAGUUAAGAAGCAGGUUUCUUCAGGCCUUUACAUGGCGAUGUAGCAUUGCAGAUGACGUAUUCAUCACCGGAAAACAGUGAAGACCCAAUGAAUUGACCUGGUCAGCUAGACUUAUAAUUGACUUUUGUUUGUUUUUAUGGAACAAUCAGUACAAUCAAUGGUGUGACAAAUGCAAGCAACUCUGCAACAUCACAUAAUGUUACCAACGGGUUCUUCCCUGGGAUGAAUGGUCUGAAAAAAAUACAUAGCAAUCUAUAGGUAUCAUGGUUGUGCCAUUUGGUUUCUCCAAGAAAACAAUAGUUCAUGAUUACAGAACACUGAUAUAUAACUAAGGCUGUC